CACUGGAGUGCCUGAGUACGGUGCAUUCUGAGAAUGGGUUCCAGGUGUGCCAGGAUACUGAAAGUUACAAAGAUUUGUGUGACUGGCUGAGAAGAAAUCAAGAAGAGGAAAAUCAAGAAAAGAGAAUUUUUAGAGUAGCAGUAUCAACUGAACUACUAAACACUAUCUGAUGCUCUAGAUAAAAGUAGUUGGUAUCAACAUA